rnacentral:rRNA from 1 species
UACGGAGGGUGCAAGCGUUAUCCGGAUUCACUGGGUUUAAAGGGUGCGUAGGCGGGCUGUUAAGUCAGUGGUGAAAUCUUUGGGCUUAACCCGAAAACUGCCAUUGAUACUAUCAGUCUUGAAUAUUGUGGAGGUCUGCGGAAUAUGUCAUGUAGCGGUGAAAUGCUUAGAUAUGACAUAGAACACCAAUUGCGAAGGCAGCAGGCUACGCAUAUAUUGACGCUGAGGCACGAAAGCGUGGGGAUCAAACAGG